rnacentral:rRNA from 1 species
UACGUAGGGUGCAAGCGUUAAUCGGAAUUACUGGGCGUAAAGCGUGCGCAGGCGGUUUUGUAAGUCUGUCGUGAAAUCCCCGGGCUCAACCUGGGAAUUGCGAUGGAGACUGCAAGGCUAGAAUCUGGCAGAGGGGGGUAGAAUUCCACGUGUAGCAGUGAAAUGCGUAGAUAUGCGGAGGAACACCGAUGGCGAAGGCAAUCCCCUGGACCUGUACUGACGCUCAUGCACGAAAGCGUGGGGAGCAAACAGG